rnacentral:rRNA from 1 species
UACGAAGGGGGCUAGCGUUGUUCGGAAUUACUGGGCGUAAAGCGCGCGCAGGCGGUCUUCCAAGUCAGUGGUGAAAGCCCGGAGCUCAACUCCGGAACUGCCAUUGAAACUGUGAGACUUGAGGAUGAGAGAGGUGAGUGGAAUUCCCAGUGUAGAGGUGAAAUUCGUAGAUAUUCGGAAGAACACCAGCGGCGAAGGCGACACACUGGGCCAUUACUGACGCUGAGGCGCGAAAGCGUGGGGAGCAAACAGG